GCGUAAAGAGUGCGUAGGUGGUUAAUUAAGUUAUCUGUGAAAUCCCUGGGCUCAACCUGGGCAGGUCAGAUAAUACUGGUUAACUCGAGUAUGGGAGAGGGUAGUGGAAUUUCCGGUGUAGCGGUGAAAUGCGUAGAGAUCGGAAGGAACACCAGUGGCGAAGGCGGCUACCUGGCCUAAUACUGACACUGAGGCACGAAAGCGUGGGGAGCAAACAGGAUUAGAUACCCUGGUAGUCCACGCCGUAAACGAUGUCAACUAGCUGUUGG
rnacentral:rRNA from 1 species